GACGAACGCUGGCGGCGUGCUUAACACAUGCAAGUCGAACGGAAAGGCCCUGCUUUUGUGGGGUGCUCGAGUGGCGAACGGGUGAGUAACACGUGAGUAACCUGCCCUUGACUGUGGGAUAACUUCAGGAAACUGGGGCUAAUACCGGAUAGGAGCUCCUGCUGCAUGGUGGGGGUUGGAAAGUUUCGGCGGUUGGGGAUGGAUUCGCGGCUUAUCAGCUUGUUGGUGGGGUAGUGGCUUACCAAGGCUUUGACGGGUAGCCGGCCUUGGAGGGUGACCGGCCACAUUGGGCCUGAGAUACGGCCCAGAAUCCUACGGGAGGCAGUAGUGGGGAAUAUUGCACAAUGGGCGGAAGCCUGAUGCAGCAACGCCGCGUGCGGGAUGACGGCCUUCGGGUUGUAAACCGCUUUCGCCUGUGACGAAGCGUGAGUGACGGUAAUGGGUAAAGAAGCACCGGCUAACUACGUG
rnacentral:rRNA from 1 species